AUUGAACGCUGGCGGCAGGCCUAACACAUGCAAGUCGAGCGGAUGAGUGGAGCUUGCUCCAUGAUUCAGCGGCGGACGGGUGAGUAAUGCCUAGGAAUCUGCCUGGUAGUGGGGGACAACGUUUCGAAAGGAACGCUAAUACCGCAUACGUCCUACGGGAGAAAGUGGGGGAUCUUCGGACCUCACGCUAUCAGAUGAGCCUAGGUCGGAUUAGCUAGUUGGGGAGGUAAAGGCUCACCAAGGCGACGAUCCGUAACUGGUCUGAGAGGAUGGUCAGUCACAGUGGAACUGGGACACGGUCCAGACUCCUACGGGAGGCAGCGGUGGGGAAUAGUGGACAAUGGGCGAAAGCCUGAUCCAGCCGGGCCGCGUGUGUGAAGAAGGUCUUCGGAUUGUCAAGCACUUUAAGUUGGGAGGAAGGGCAGUAAGUUAAUACCUUGCUGUUUUGACGUUACCGACAGAAUAAGCACCGGCUAACUCUGUGCCAGCCGCCGCGGUAAGAC
rnacentral:rRNA from 1 species